AUUGAACGCUGGCGGCAGGCCUAAUACAUGCAAGUCGAGCGGACGAAGGGAGCUUGCUCCUGUAUUCAGUUGCCGACGGGCGAGUAAUGACUAGGUAGCUGCCCUGUCUAUGGGGAUAACGUACGGUCACGGGCCCUAAUACCACACACGUUCUUAGGUUGAACGUGAGGGAUCAUCAGUCCACACGCUUUCUGCUGACCCUAGGACGGAUUAGCUAGUUGGUGAGGUAAAGGCGUACCAAGGCGACGAUCCGUAACUGGUCUGAGAGGAUGAUCAGUCACACUGGAACUGAGACACGGUCCAGACUCCUACGGGGGGCAGCAGUGGGGAAUCUUGGACAAUGGGCGAAAGCCUGAUGCAGCCACGCCGCGUGUGUGAAGAAGGUCUUCGGAUUGUAAAGCUCUGUAAGUAGGGAAGAAGAGAAGUGUGAUUAUCCCUGGAUGUUUUGACGUUACCAACAGAGAAAGCACCGGCUAACUUCGUG
rnacentral:rRNA from 1 species